rnacentral:tRNA from 1 species
GGGCGAGUAACUCAGCUGGUUAGAGUGUCUGCUCGACACGCAGGAAGUCGGGAGUUCGAAUCUCUCCUCGCCCACCA